rnacentral:miRNA from 1 species
CGCGUGAGGUGGCUCCUAACUUCA